rnacentral:lncRNA from 1 species
AAGGAAAACAUAUGAUUGUGACUUGAAUCAUUUACUUUUCUUGUGGUGUUUUGGUUCCAAUUAGGAUGUUUAUACACUUUGUAUGCUGUUUCCUUUUUUACUUUACCUCAACCUGUGUAUUUGUAUGUAAUGACAGGCUGUGAUUGAAGCUCAGUUAAUUGGCCCUUUGGUCAAUUUGCUUCAAACUGCUGAGUUUGACAUAAAAAAAGAGGCUGCUUGGGCUAUUUCAAAUGCUACCUCUGGUGGAACUCAUGAACAAAUCAAGUAUGUUUUGUUUCUCAUCGCCUUCCGUGUUCAGUGCAGAAUGCGUGGACGUGAAUUUUAUGUUUUGUGUCUUGUGUAGGUACUUGGUUUCUCAAGGCUGUAUAAAGCCAUUGUGUGAUCUCCUUGUGUGCCCAGAUCCAAGAAUCAUCGCUGUCUGUUUAGAAGGUCUUGAGAAUAUAUUGAAGGUUGGGGAAGUAGAAAAAAGCCUUGGCAACAGUGGAGAUGUUAAUUUCUAUGCUCAAUUGGUUGAUGAAGCUGAAGGCUUAGAAAAGAUUGAGAACUUGCAGAGCCAUGACAAUAAUGAAAUUUAUGAAAAAGCGGUCAAAAUACUAGAGACGUAUUGGUUGGAGGAGGAGGAUGAAACGUUGCCAGCUGGUGAUGGAGGCCAGCCUGGAUUCAACUUUGGAGGGAAUGAUAUGCAACUUCCACCUGGUGGAUUUAAAUUUGGCUGAAGGUAAAGAUUCAGAUGUGCAGAUCCAACUGUUCCCUGUUCCACAUGCAGCUUCCAUGUUCUGCAUGCGGCUUCUGACAUGCUAAACAUGAAGUUUUGUUUCUGGCUGAUUAAAUCAAAUCAAAUUUGUCAAUUUCCACCUUCGACUAUGGGAACCUUGAUAAUUCAGGCUCAACUGAAACCUUCUAUGAGAUAUAUUUAUUUCCUCAUCCUGGAGAUUUCAAUUGUUAUGCAAGUACUAUGGCUUCUUAUGCACCUUCUUAAUAACGGACAUAAAUUUGCAGGGUCAUUAGUUGGUGGAUACAACCUCAGAUUGAGGACAGCGUGUUUGUUGGCGUCAAGUCAAGGUCAGGUCGGGUCAGUUCAAGUUAGAGCACCUCACAGAGUCUGGCUGUUGUAUGGUUCAGUGUCGGUUGCCUUAAGGAGGUGCCAAGGCAGGUCUUUUGGUACUACGGUGGAGAAUAAGAAAGGGUGCGUGCUCACUGGUUGAUGGUAUGUUGGGCUUGGUUAAUUCCCCUGAUGGAGAAUGGCAUGGGGAAAAAUGAAGGGUUUGUGGACUCUUCAAAUGAGUUGUCAGAACACGGGGUUUUGUAUUUUGUCUUUUCAUGCCUUGUAAUUGAGUACAUGGUACCACAGAGUCGUCAAGUAUUGAUGGGUAGUUACCGAGUUCUGUAUGUAUUGAUCAUGAUUCGGGAUUGUUUUGUUGGUGUAUUGUAAGCAAGGGAAGAGAGAGACGAGAGUUCACAAUUCACUUGAUAUCCUAGUAUGGUAUGUUUACUAGUCAUUUGUUUGUAAGUAGGUGUUUUUUUUUUUUUUUUUUUUUGAUAAUUGUAAGUAGGUGUUGUCAUACAGCUUUUCAGUUUCUUGCAGACACGGUUGGUCUUCUAGAUUGUACUACAGUUUUGUUCCUCCCAGGCACUGAAAGUUCAAAGUUUUCGGAAUCGGCUUUGCUUUACAUUUUUUUUUUUUUUGGGAUACGAUGGACUUACAUUUAUUUACUUUAUAUUAGGGGAACGGAGGACCCAAAGAGAUCGAAAGAGAACUUGGAGAGGAUUGAGGCUGGAUUUUUAGAAUAUAGACAGAGAGAUUUGGUCUCUUGAUUUAUACUCAAGUACAGCUUUAAACUUCUUUUGGGGACCGACUAUAUUAGGAGUGGUUGCGUUACUAGAUAUCUUUGGAAUCCAUGAACAUGCACAUCUUUUUUUCGGGGAUGUGCUGAGCUGACUUUUUACCGGGCAAAUCCCAAAAUCAAAAUGGAAUGUGCAGCAUUCCACUGAAACGAAAUCAGGAGAGACGUUAUCAUUUAUGCCCACGGUUUGGUCAUACACUCAUUUUCCACUGCUCAAAAAAACCUCAAGAGUCAACCAUUCAGCAUUCCAGCCGCUAACCUUUUAAACGUAGGAAACUAAGGUGAAUCAGAAGGAGCAGUAAGGGCUGUAUUUGAAUGGUGUAACUUUAAGUGAACAAAUUGUAAUUGUUUAUUAAUUGUUUGUACAAUUUUUCCAUCAUAGAAGUGUAAUAUUUGGAAAUUAUUUAUGUGGAUUUCAUAUAUUCUCUCAAUCCCAUUUUGAUUGUCUUGAUUUUUUUUCCAUACAGUUUAAGAAAAAUUAAUUAACUUCGUUGAAAGAGUAAAUCUAGUCUACUUUUUUUUUUUUAAAUACACUUACAUUAUUAGCAGGAGUAUAACUAAUUAUUAUAUCUUUACAGUAAUUACAACAGCAAUACUAAUGAAAAGUUGCACCAUUCAAGACAUGAAAUGAGAACAAUUAUUGAAUAAGGUAUAUUAUACUCAUUAAUAACAAAGUAUAUUAAAUAAGGGUAUUUUAGAGAAAUUAAAAGUUACUAUAUUCUUUAAUUGGAAAAUAGACUAUAAAUUAGGGCGAAUGAAAAGGAAGAAUAACACUAUCAAAAUGAGAAAGGGAGAAUAUAAAAUAAUUGUGUCCCUGUCAUGAGGUUGUACAAGUCAUUAAAUAAUGAGUUACAAUUUACUGAAAAAUGUUACGAACAUGUUUAGGAAUAAUUGUAAUAAAAAAUUGUUCUUGCCCAUCUUGAAUUAAAAAAGAUUAAAUUUCACCUUGUCCAUCAGUUUUGAACUUCAUUGUCUCUCUUGAAUUGGCCCAAAUCUCCACUGCAAGAAUUCCAAGCCAUAGAGUUUUGUUAUGUUGUUUAUGUUUAGUCUUUUACUAGUUUUAUUUAUCCAAAAAAAGAAAAAAUUAUGAACACAAAGGGUUUGUUCUCAUUGAUUAUUUUAACUAACUAUAGAUUCUAAUUUUGGAUAACCAAUUUUUGUGACUUUUUGUUGUUUUUGUAUUCUAAUUAUAGAUUUUUUUAAUGGUCAAAAGGCUAAAACCUAUAAUCACUUAAAUAGUAAACACUGAAUUAUUCUCUUUUAUCAAUUUCUAUGAUCAGAUUCUGUAAAAUCUUAAAAUAAUGGACACCAAAGCUAAAUUCAAUUACGAACAUAAGAUCACAAAUUCAAUACUUUAGAAGACAAGAGAGGCCCCAGUGCAGCCCAGACUGCAGAACCCAGGCCCAAAUAAGUCCUCCCAUAAUCCAAAACCCUUCCCUUCUCUCUUUCUUCACCUGGUAGACUACUACAAUUCCCUCCCUCCCUCCCUCCCUCUCUCUCUCUCACUCCCCCACACUCUGUCACGCGCAUACGCGCAUACACUGAACAAUUUCAAUCACCGCUUUCUAAUAUUUCUUUUAAUUUGUGCAAUUCAUUUUUCCCCUUAAUUGGAGUGAUAUAAUCAUAUCAAUUUCGGAUUUGUUUUGUUAGAUUUUGAUUAGAGUGAAGGAAAUCAGCUUAGUGGGAACGAUGUCGUUGAGACCGACCGAGAGAACGGAGGUUCGCAGGAACCGAUACAAGGUUGCGGUCGAUGCUGAAGAAGGACGGCGGAGGAGGGAGGAUCAAAUGGUGGAGAUCCGAAAGAGUAAGCGGGAGGAGAAUCUUCUUAAGAAGCGUCGUGAAGGCCUUCAGAUGUCUCAACCCUUCCCUGCGCCCGUCCCCUCCAAUAACAUCGAGAAAAAGGUCUUAAUUGUUUUCCAAGUAAUCUGAGUAAUUAUUUAGACGUAAUUUGAUUAAUUGAUCCAUUUGAAAUUGUGCGAUCUGAUGUUGGCGAGAAUGUGAAUAGGUGUUUUGUAUUUAUGUAAACUUUUCUGCUUUUGAUUUUUCACCAUCUUUUUUUCAAUCAUCAAUUCAUAGUGGCAUCAUAAGUUACGAAGAAAAAAUUGGUUUCCAUUUGUUCUUAUCUUGGCAUGUAUAUGGAUCAACUACUUGUGCAGAAGCGUUAGUACUUGAGAUUUGGCUGUGAAGUCCCAAGCUCGUCACUAAUAAUAAUCUGGAUUGUUUUCUCGUUGUUUUUUACAUUGCGAUUCCUGUAUUUACUUGCUCAUGCUCUCUGUUUGUUUAUGAACACUGUUUGUUUUAUGUGCGAUUCUGUCUUUUAUAAGCCUGCUGCAGUUAAGUGGGAAUAGUCUGUUUUUGAGCUCUGAUUGUUUUUAUACGACAGUCCUUAGAGCUGACUUAUUUUGCUGCAGUUGGAGAGUCUCCCUUUGAUGGUGAAUGGAGUUUAUUCGAAUGAUAACAAUUUGCAGUUGGAGGCAACCACUCAAUUUCGUAAAUUGCUUUCAAUAGGUAUGAUUGUGUUCCUUAUUUAACGUGCAUUUUUUUAAUUAUCGUAGCUCAUCUUAUUUCUGAAAUUUUAAUUCCAGAAAGAAGCCCUCCCAUUGAGGAAGUUAUACAAUCUGGAGUUGUUCCUCGCUUUGUUGAGUUCCUUAUGAGGGAGGAUUUCCACCAGCUCCAGGUUUGAAGCUGAAGCUUUUUUGCAGGAUAUCUGUUUAUUCACUUUGUAAUUUUGUAAUUUGAGCUGUGUUUUGCUUAAUUAAUUUAUUAAUUUUGUUAGUUUGAGGCUGCUUGGGCACUUACGAACAUUGCAUCUGGAACUUCGGAGAACACCAAGGUGGUGAUUGAUCACGGGGCUGUACCCAUUUUUGUCAAGCUUUUGGGUUCUCCAAGUGAUGAUGUCCGUGAGCAGGUAAUGUGUAAUGUUGACCAGUUCUUUUAAGGCAUUAUUUGGCUGCGAGAAAUUUUGGUUAGGAAAGUGUUGUGUUUCCUAGACUCUUAAUUUUGUCAUUUUGAGAGGCAAUUUGCUUCUAGGGAAUCAUGGAAAAAUGUUUGGCAUUUUAAAUAAAGCAACGAAGGAAAUUGAUUAUUCAUUGAACUCCAAAAGCAGUGAGAAAAAUUAGGGAGGUGAAUGAAUAAAGGAGGAGUCCAUUGUCCUCUCUUGUGACUCGAGAAGUUCUAAGAGUGCGCGCACUGCUAUCUCAAGUUUACGUUGUGGUUCUUAAUUGUUGCUUGUUUCUAUUUAGACAAUGUCUUGUACACUUCCACAAAAUCUACUUCUUUCUAUCUGUGUUUCAACAUAUUUGGUAUUGUUUUUGGUGGCUCAGCCUUUCUUUUGUAUCAUGGAUGUUUAUUUUCCUAUUCUGUUCAUGUUAUGAUUCAUUUUCAUUGUGGGCGAAUGACUUUGCUGGUUGCACAUAACAUUAGACUUGGAGGAUUUGCUGCUGGUAAAAGAAUAAUUUUAUGGUCCUUAAGAUUGUUGUUUAGUUUGUGUCAGAGUGGGAAAAGGCAAUUGAUGGUCCUUAAGUAAUUGUUUUUAGUUCUUGUAGUUAUGCUGUAUUGAUGAGGGAAUGGUUAAUAGGUAAAAACAGACAAUAGGAAUUGAGGUUGAUAAAUCAUUCAUUAGUGUCCUUUUGUGUUACUACCAACAAAAUAGGAUGCAAGGAAAAAAGUUUUAGCAUUGUAGGGAGACUUACUAGAGUUGUCAUGAAUUUGUAGGCUGUAUGGGCACUGGGAAAUGUUGCAGGUGAUUCUCCAAGGUGUCGUGACCUUGUCCUUGGGCAUGGGGCUUUAAUCCCUUUGCUGGCACAAUUGAAUGAGCAUGCCAAGCUUUCAAUGCUGCGAAAUGCUACCUGGACAUUGUCAAACUUCUGCCGGGGCAAACCACAACCUCCAUUUGAGCAGGUUCACUGCGUAAUUAUGUUGUGCUUUUGUUCUCUUCUUUUUAGACUUGUUAAGUAGUUUUGAUUUUAGUCCGAGAAUAUAAUAACAUGCUGUAAGAUUCAAUUGUCAGGUGAGGCCAGCCCUCCCCGCACUUCAGCGUCUUGUUCAUUCAAAUGAUGAAGAAGUCCUUACUGAUGCAUGCUGGGCUCUCUCCUAUCUCUCUGAUGGUACAAAUGACAAAAUUCAAGCUGUGAUUGAGGCAGGUGUCUGUCCAAGACUCGUGGAGCUACUUGUGUGAGUGUCCUUUUACACAAUUUACAUCUCACUUAUCUUUGUUGUUUCUCAUUAAUUUCUGAAAUUCAUGGUUAAAACAAAUUUUACUUGUCAGGCAUCCAUCUCCUUCUGUGCUUAUUCCUGCACUUCGCACAGUUGGGAAUAUUGUUACAGGAGAUGAUUAUCAGACUCAGGUACUAUCUUCAGCUGGGCUCUUUAUUUUGAUGUUUUAUUUAUCUUUUGAAAGAAAAUGAUAACUUUGUGCAGGCAUACUGAACCUUAGUACCUGUCAUUUGGCCCUUUAAUAGUUAAGUGUGUUUUACUUGUCUGUUCUUUAUUGAAAUGUUGUUUGCAUAGUACAGCACUUGCCAUCUUGCUUCCCUUACUGGUACCGAUAUCCUGUGACAUCUGGUUGGAUGAAGAUUUAGUAUGUUCUGUGUUUUCCCCCCUUUGGCUAUUACUGCUAUCAUCCGCAGCAUGAUGAAAUCUUGGAAUGUAUAUAGAAUGGAAAGUCUCUCAUCUCCUAUUAUUACUGUUUUGAGUUGCUAUCUUGACAGUAGGAAGAAGUUCAUUGAGAUUGAUUGUUAAGUACUUUAUUUCAGCUUCCUCCCACCCCCACCCAAAAAUAGAGAGAGAGAGUUGAAGAAGGAGAAGUAAACAAGAAUUAUAAUGUAUUUGAGAUUUUGACAUUCAGUCUUUGUUUCAGUGUAUAAUUGACCACGGGGCACUCCCUUGUUUGCUGAGCUUAUUGACUCAUAAUCAUAAAAAGAGCAUCAAGAAAGAAGCUUGCUGGACUAUUUCCAAUAUUACUGCUGGAAAUAAGGAGCAGAUUCAGGUAUAGUGUUUUCUUCUUAAAUUUUCUUAUGUAUGAUGUCCAGCUGAUUUACUCUGUGAUCCCCCACCCCGUCCCCCUCUGGAAAAAGGAAAACCUAUCAUUGUCUUUUGAAUUAUUUACUGUGUGGUGUUUUGGUUCCAAUUAGGAUGUUUAUACACUUUGUAUGCUGUUUUCCUUUUCACUUUACCUCAGCCUGUGUAUUUGUAUGUAAUGACAGGCUGUGAUUGAAGCUCAGUUAAUUGGCCCUUUGGUCAAUUUGCUUCAAACUGCUGAGUUUGACAUAAAAAAAGAGGCUGCUUGGGCUAUUUCAAAUGCUACCUCUGGUGGAACUCAC